rnacentral:lncRNA from 10 species
GUUCAAGCAAUUCUCCUGCCUCAGCCUCCCAAGUAGCUGAGACUACAGGCAUGAGCCACUAUGCCCGGCUGAUUUUUGUAUUUUUGGUAGAGAUGGGGUUUCACCAUGUUGGACAGGCUGGUCUCGAACUCCUAACCUCAGGUGAUCUGCCCACCUUGGAAUCCCAAAGUGCUGGAAUUACAGGCGUGAGCCAGCAAUUCUCAUAAGGAGCACACAACCUAGAUCCCUCGCAUGCGCAGUUCACAAUAGGGUUCGCACUCCUAUGAGAAUCUAAUGUUGCCACUGAUCUCACAGGAGGCGGAGCUCAGGCAGUAUUGCUUGCUCACUGCCUGCUAUGCAGCCCGGUUCCUAACAGGCCAGGGAUGGGUCCCAGUCAUUGGCCUGGUGGCUGGGGACCCUUGUCAUACAUGGUAUUAUUCUGUUUUAAAAACCAGUUUCUCCUGGUGCCCC